GGAAACCAGGUUGUCUACCCCACAGAGUGCUUCUGAAGACCAAAUGAUGUAACUCACAAGAAAGUGCCUUGUAAAUCGCCCAGAAAUUGCAAAAAAUCCUUAACUAGCCAAUGAGGCUGCCUCUAUUGCCCAUCGACCAGCCCUAGUCUCUCACAACAGUGAGCACCCAGUAGGUGCUGGCUGUCUUUGUGCUCAACAAAUAAUUUCCAGAAUUAAAAAAACAAAACAAAAACAAAAACAAAAACAAAAAAAAACCCCAGCAAAACAACAUUCAUUCAACAAACAUUUUCUGAGACACUGACCAUGUGCCCAGUGCACCAGGCUAUGGCUGAGAUACAAAGACAAUGAGAACAGUCUCUUUUGGGAGGCUAAUUAGUACCCUUAUUUCUACCAGCACUUUCUUUGGUGGACUUUUAAACCAACCAGUUUUGUCCAGACAAGACAAAAAAACAAAAACAAAAACCCAACUGGGUUGCUUUAGGGAGGCAACUGGUCUGGAGUGGACAAUGGUGUCCAGGCCCCUGAAAGGGGCUGAUUGGAUUAUGAGGCAAAUGGAGGCAGAAGGAGCACACAGGAGACAAAUGCAGUGGGCGGAGACCCGCUCUGAGUUAAUCAGGCUGAUUGAAGGGACCCUUUCUGUCUUGCCGAGUGGCCAGGGGGCUCUCGCCACUGCCUACUCUGUCAGCACUGCUCUGUGCACAUGGAGACUGGAGCUACCCUGGUCCCUCUCUGGCAAUUGUUCAUUCAUUUGAUGCUCACAACUCCCUGUCCUGACCCAGGGCCGGCCUGCCAUCACGCAGGGAAGCAGAGGUCGCCAAGCGGUUUUCGACGGGGCCCCCCACAUAACGUUAGCCUCGCGGUCUCUUCGGUUUUAGCAGCAGUGGACAUGAACCUGUUUCCAGCCUGCAUCCUCCAGUUCCUCUCGGGACUUCUGGCUCCACUGUGCUCACCUGGAGCCCUGCCCGCCUGCCCGCCCGCCCACCUUCCCCUGUCCUCCUUCCUCGCCACUCCAGUGUCUGUCUUUCCUUCACAGCCCGGCUUCUCGAGGCCUGUCUACACUCGCUGCUUUCCUUCCUCACCUCCAAUUUCCCCUCCAACCCACUGCUUCCUGACUCGCUCUUCUCCAUCGAACGGCUCUCGCUCAGGCCUGUCGCGUCUUCCUGUGCCAUUUGCCGUUGUACUCAGGUUCCACGAGCUGCCCAUCUCCACAGAAGAGCAGCUGGCAUUGCCCUCCGGCCAUGCUGGCUGAAGAAAAGAAGACUGAGGACCCCAGGACGUCCAGCGCGAGGACCCCAGGAAGCUCAGCGCGAGGACCCCAGGAAGCUCAGCGCGAGGACCCCACCCACAAUGCCCAGCGCGAGGACCUCACGCACAACACGUUGCAACCCUUCUGGAUUAGGCCAAAGCCAUCAUCUGGAAUCCUGCGUGGGACCCUGGACACACGGACACAGACACCUGCCCCUGGGACCCUCCAACUGUAAAUUGAUUGGAAGCGCCCUUGUGAGCUGGGGCCUUCAAAGGGCUGAGGAGAAAAUGCAGGCCGAGAGACCAGCUUCUCAAAUAGGCUUCAAGCCUCCAUGACCUGAGCUCACCCCCUGGAAAUGUCUGGAAAACAUAAUGGGCAGGUUUUCUGUCUUCAAAGUUUCCAUCAAAACCUCUUCAAGUUCUUUAUUGUUUAGGACUGAGACACUUGGGGACAGUAAUGGGGACUUUCUUUUGUAUCUGUCUUGAAAGGCCAAAAUAUUUUUAUAUUGCUGUAGACAAAGCCACCUAUUUACAAAUGGACUCUGUUCCGUCGUUUCCCACCAGGAAGACCGUACUAUGUUUGUGUCUCUAUGUAUUCUGGGGUCUUGAAACAGGUUUCUCAUGGGGAUGGCCAUUCACUAGAGCCCAGAGGAGCAGAAGGGGAAGUGUCUACCCUGCCAAGGGGGUCUGGGGAAGGAGGGGGGCUAGUCUCAGAUUUGCUCCUUGUAUGUCUAGGGUAAACCCUGGGAGAAGCUGGUGGUAAAAGAACAUAUGCUGUGUUUGCCCCACAUCUGCCAUUUGUGUGUGUUUCUGGGCUAUGGGUUUGCACACUUUGGUGGUUAACAUGGUGGGAGGAAGUAAGAAGGGCCAAGAGGGCACGGGUGCUCUGGUUUUCCUGCUGGGAGGCUGUUUCACUGGUGUGUGUUACAUCACAUAAUGCAUGUUUAGCUGGGUGAGUGAAAACAGUGGGAAGGGACAGAGAAAGAAACGAAUAGGUAUAGAGAGCUAGUCACAGAGUACACAGUCACCAUUCCAUCUCACUGGUGGCCAGGUGUUCGAAAAAUGUUCAAUAAAGUUCUGAGCUGACACACUGGUAUUGGGUCAUCAUGGACCUAAGGAGUUUUUUAAUUGAAGAAGGAAUCCCAAAGAAUAGAAGGAAGAAUAAGAAGAGCUGUCAAAACCAGCUCUAAGGUUUUUGAGGCCCUUUAAUAUAAACAGAUGAUGGCGUGAUCAGAGAGAACGAAACAGGAAAGAGAAAACAAACAAACAAACAAACAAGAUGCUUACAGAAUACGAGGGGAUAUGUGAGCAUGCAAGGAGAACCCAGCUAGGUUAGUAUCGGGGGACUGAUAGAUCGUUAAUCCUGUCUGGGUACCCCAGCUGCAAGGGGAUGAGAGAGGCAGCAAGUGAGAAAGAGAGGACACAUAGGAAACUGUAACAAGACAGAGGCAGACAGAUGAGGAGCUUCAGGGGAGGGUUAAGCUAGGCUUCGCAAUCUGACCACUUAACUCUACCAGCAAAGAAAGGCUUAAACACUAAAAAGAGGGAAAGCCGGAAGAAAGGAUGGUAGAUGUGAAAGGCAUAGAGGAUGGAAAGCAAUAGGGAGUGGAGUGCAGGUGCUGUGGAGGGACGCUUGCAGGUGACGCAGUUCACCAGCCUGUGCAGCUGAGAAAGAUAGCCAGUGACAAAGGAGAAGAAGAAAGGUAACAAUAUGCUCACAAAUAGGUAGGUGAAUGUAGUUAGAAGACGGCCCGGCUACGGACUGGACAAGAGGCUGUGUCAGCAGACUGGUUAAUUCCCAUCUGUGCUUCUGAGAUGGACAAUGACCCACCCGACCAAGAGACCUUUCAGGCAUCAAUAUGUCAGGGAGGGCUUCAAUGGGGCAAUGGAGGCAAGGCCCAUUAAUAGCAGAUUAUGAUGUAUCCAAUUAGGUGCACCUGCCCUCUGGAAGUGCAGAAACCAGUAUUGAAAUGGAAAGAAAGACUGAAUGGAAGCCGAGAGUACAAAUGAAUGGAUGGGAAAAAAAGAUUUGCAUUCGCUCUGGGGAGGGUGCUGCUGAGCCCCAGGGUCAUCUGAUCUCCCAGAGAAUAAAAGGGCGAGGGAGUGAUAAAGAGUAACAAUAAGAUGGGGAAGAAAUGAAAAGGAGUGUGGAAGAGAAUAAGUGGGGACAAUGAAGUCUAGGAGUGCGGCUUGUUUAACACAAGUCAUCCAUAUUAAUUCAAAAUUGAGGCCCUCUGAUGGGAUGGGCUAGGUCCCAGGGAUGAAGCUGUUGCCUAGUAUGUGCCAAGUUCUGGGUUCCAUCUCCGCCUGGCAAGACAAACAGAGGAAACAAAAUUAUAGCCCAGAGGUUGUAAAUGUUGUUUUUGAUGGUUUUGGGACAAAGAGCUAGAUCAGUUGGAAGAUAGAGAAAUAGGAAGAGGUGGGAAAGAGUUAGAUGAACACAAGAGGAAGCAGCAGUUCUUAAGAUAAGUGUUUAAAUAUGGUGAAUACGUAUCUCCUGGGUGUGUCAGACAAAAAUAACGAAAAGAAACAAGUUUAGGAAUGACCACACAAGGAUGAUCAGGAAGCGGUGACUUUAGUUAAUCACUGUGGCACUCAGCCCUGUCAGGGAUUUUUUUAAAUGUACAAAGGAGAUAAAGGAAGACACACAAUACCGAAGAGAGACAGGACAGACAGACACAGCGAAAAGGUUGAGGACAUAAUGAAUAUCCUGGAGACAUGCCUGAGAGGGUCGUAUAGGGAUGAGAGAAAGAACAGCAAGAAUUCUGCUUAAUUCAAAACUGGGCUCCUGAGAUAGCUAAAUAUCUCCUGAACCCAAGCACCAACACAGGAGAUUAAAUAACAAAAGAGCUGCAGGCAGACCCAAGUGGAGAAGGCUUGGGACCCUCAGAUCACGCUUAAUCUAAAUCUGUGCACCUGAGGUCCAUAAAUAAAAGAAUAAAUAUUGAAAUAAAGGAGUGACAGAAAGGAUGAAUGAGCACACAUGACUGAAUUAGAAAUGGAAAUGGCCAGAGCAGCCAGGAAGGAGUGGCCCAUGGGACUUCUGCUCAUCUUAUUCUAGGCACCUGAGGUCCCUUCGUGAGAAGAUGCAGGGAGAAGAGGGGAAGGGAAAGGCCUGAGAGCAAAUGAAAGAGAGGAGAGGAGAGGAAAUGAGAAAGUAUCAGAGAGAGGAAGCGAUCGGGGGUUCCUCGGAAGAGGAAUGUCCACGAGGAUUAAUAAGGAGGCUCUCAUUAAUCCUAAAGAUCGAUGAGGUAAUCCAGACCCAGGUUCUUAAGGGGAGGGGGAAUGGAGAGAAUUAAAAAAAAAAAGAUGCAAAAAAGGAGAGAAAGAUAAUAAAACAAGCAACAUGAUGAAUGGGUAAUUAAGAGAGGCUGUCUGGACAGAAAUAGUAAUGAGUUCCCAUGCAUAGUCCUUAAAUAGAUAAAUACAUUAUACCUUUCAAAGAAUGCGUGAAAAAUCGAAGAACACCAUGGCCCCCAAACAAGGCUGCACCUUCCAUUGCUGUAAUAAAAUACAUGCAGCAGAGAGCCAUAAAUAACGGAAAAUACUUAAAUGUAAAAGGUGACCAGACGGAGGGGGAAGAUUGCAAGCCCAGAUACUCGAGGGAGGCAAUGUUUGCUUUGCAUGUGUAAUACAAUUAUGUUCACAGGAAAUUAAAAGAAAGAAAGAAAGAAAGAAAGAAAGAAAAGAAAAGAAAGAAACCAUCCAAACUAAGACUGGGAGAAAAGAUAAGGAAGGGAAGCAAGAUCGGAGAGAUGGGGUGGAGACUCCGGGGUGGGUUUCUAUUCUGCACACCCGGACUUAUAAAAGUGAGUUUGUCAGGGCAGGAAGAGAGAGCUGAAAUCUGGAGCGGGUGGGGGUGGGCAGAUGGAUAGAAAAGGAAUGGAAACUACACGGGGAAGUGGGGGCUCUAAGAUCUGAGGUUAUGGCUCUUUUAAAGCUGAGCGGUUGCUGUCCCCCAAGGAAUCAAAUCUUACUGCUUUUGUGAAGGAAGAGAAGAUGGCAACAAUAUUGCAGGAAAAGAGGGAAGGGGGCAGGCAGGGAGGCAGGGAGGCAGGGAGGCAGGGAGGAGCUUGCACGUGCUAUUCCCUGACUGGGAUUGGUAAUAGAUAGCUCUUGGCCCACCACAAGCUGCGUCCACACAGCCUGACUGACUGGGAACAGCUAGCCUUGGAUCAUCAUUGCCAUUUUUUGCUUGCGGGGGGGCCAUUUCACUGUCUGUCACAUCUUCAGUCCACAGACACAUCCCUGCACAGUGCCCUUUCCAUAGACAUGGAUAGGUGGGAAGGGCUCAGGCCUGGGGCGCUCUGGAAAUGGUUGCGUGAAUAAGGGGCGCUAUGCCCAGUGGGUACCUUGAGUCCUCCCUGGAAAAGGAUCUCUUCUGAUCCUGAUGUGAGGGGGCUUAGCCAGCCAAAGGGCAGGAGGAGGUCAGGGCAAAGGAGGCUUUGCCUGCUGCAUAACAUCUUGAGUGUGACUUACACCCAGGGUGCAGCCAAUGUGAGCUUGACCUGGAAGCCCAGAGGCCCUGGAGGCCCAGGCAAAGCUCUCAGAGAUCAAGCCUACCCUUCAGCUCAGAGAGUUGACCCCUGCCCAGGCUCCCACACAUGUUCCUGGGUCCCAGCCCCUAGAAACAUAUGCCACCCCUGGAGCCUGUUUCAAGGCCCGUCUUCCAGAAUGUUUAACCUGUGUUCUGUAACUAGUAAAACGCGAGUUUGUACUGUGUAUUGAAUCUGUCUUCUUAUUGGCCUCUGUGGGCUGCUGGGGGAGACCUGGAGAGUUGUUUAUUCUAGUGUCCCCCACCCCCUGGGACUCUUUGCUUCUGCCCAGUUUUCUUUCUCUGUUGUGGACAAGAUUUUGUAGAGUUGUGUGUUGUAUGCUUGUGUCUGACCAUUAAAAAAAAGAGAGUCACAGCCCUCCUUGACUCCUUAAUUCCUAUUGGGGGUGCUAAAGUCCAAAUCAGACCAAACCAGAUUCUUGUCAAGUGCCCGACAGGAAGGAUAAUAGCUUGGCUGGAUCCAGGGAGCACAUGCAGACCUAAGAGUAGGGUGGACAGAUGGGCGAUACAGCAAGGGGGCUUUGAGAGCUGAGUGAGUGCAGGCUUAGUAGAGAGACAGUAUGGAAGGUUGGGAAGGGUGGGGCUGCUGCUACCUGAGUUGCUGAGGGUCUGAGACACCAGCAAGGAGGAAGGGCCCCUGGAAGAAGCGGUUUGAGAUGACUGAAGAAGGAAGAUGGGCGCUCCCUACGCUUCUAGCUUCAAGGUUUUUAGUGUAGGCCCCAAUAGACGCCAACUGCCUCCGAUCGUGGAAGACACAGCCUAACCUUGUCAGAAGCCACCUUCUGUGCCCCCAGCACCACGUGUCUGGGCCACGUGAGCAACGCCACGUGGGCCUGACGUGGAGCUGGGGCCGCAGGGGUCUGAUGGCCUCCUGUUUCAGAACCUGGGGCGUUUAUCAUCCUUGGGACACCUGCUGACCUGGCUCCGGAGGAUUGUCCACACAAGUCUGAGUGACGGAGUGAGAUGAGGGGGCGGGUGGAGAUGCUCAGAAGAAAAUGGCCAGAGGGUCUGUGCAUGGGGCUCAUUUCCAGCUAUUUAGAGAGUCAGGCAAGGUGGGAUGGGUGUGGAGGAGAAUGCUGGGACUACAUGUGGGCUACAGCUGUGAAGUCAGUGACAUGGGGCAGCAUGGGGAUGGGUCUCUAGGUGGGCCUUGUCUCAACAUCCAUGCCAGAAGAUUGGAGGGGAUGCCAUGGGUACUGUGGGUCAGUGGGACCUUGGAAGUAUCACGGGCUCGGGUAGGUGACUUUGUCAUGUCACCUUGGGAAUAAUGAAGGAUAGAUCUAGCUGUAUUGAGUCUUUGACUCUUAAUCUGAUCUGGAAUAAUAAAUGUCUCUAGUUCUGGGGUUUUGAGAGUGGUAGGAGUCCGUAGGAUAUGUGUGGGGAGGGUGGUCUGCAUGCGCUCCAGCUUGGUAUCCCAGCACUUCUGACCGCUCAGGGCUGUCUUAGACUUAUUUGCUUUUCCUUUCAACAUUAUAAAAGAAGGCAAAUUUUGUCUUUUGAUUGACACUCAUAUGCAAACCACAACUUCCUUUCUCUGAUAAUACUGGGACCUACAGCUCUCCUCGGCUCCCCCCCCCCCCACUUUGAGCCCACCUUUGGGGCAGGUAGGCCAAAGGCCCUGGUGUUUUCUGAGGUGAAGUUGUUAAUGUAAAGAUGUGUAACUCAGCAGGGGAAAGAAACACACCCUCAACUCUGCCACCCUGUGCUCCAUCUUCCUUUCUGCCUUCCAAAUUCUUAUGAGCACAGUUUUGUUUUUUUAAUUUUUUUUCCAUUUAAUGAGCAUCCUUUUUUUUUUUUUUUUUAAAGCUCCAUUGGUGGUGUUUACUUUUCUGUUGGUGUUUUCCGUCUCCUGCAACUAGCAUCUUGCUGUCCACGAUUUCUUUGCUCCAUGGUCUCUCUCACCUGCUUGGGUUCCACUGAAUGGCUAUGACAUCAUGAUCUACCCAUCUUACUGUUGCUGACGCAUGAUCAACUCCUUUUUUUAACAUUACCAAUGACAUCAUCACUAAUGGCUUUGCACCACUAGCUUUCUCAGCAUCUCUAGCACCCCCCACCCCUGACAUCUAGCUUUUCCCAUGGUUCUUCUCUUUUCUCCUUGCUUCCUUGUGCUAGACUGUGAGCCCGCUCAGGGCAAGGAGCUUGUGGAACUGAGCUCUGUAUUUCUUGUAGGAUAUCUAUGUAUGUUGACUGUGUGUGUGUGUGUGUGUGUGUGUGUGUGUGUGUGUGUGUGUGUGUAAGGGUGGACAGGUAUGUGUGAUGGAGUGAUUGAAAGAUUGGCAGGCAGAUGAGAGGUUAGAUGAAUGGAUGAAUGAACGAAUGGCUGAGUGAGUGAAUUAGUGAGUGAAUGGAUGGAUGGAUGGAUUCUCUGUGGCUGAGCUGCUUGGAUGAAAGGGUAAUGGUGUUUGAAUGGCUGCUGGUUGAUUGACGAGUAUUUUAGCUUGUCUGAUGUAUUAGCAUUUAAGGUGAUGUAUUAUUAUUUGAGGUAUCUGCUGACUUUCCUCACCCCUCUGUUAAAAAUGCUUUUGUGUGUGUAUAACUUGUUCUAAUUACUAAUGAAGACUGAAUAUUUUUCACCCAUGUUUGUUAACAAAUUGUAUCUUAUCUUCUGUGAACUGUUUGUCCAAGUCCAGUGGCUCAUGGCUCUUUAAGGCUCUUGGUUGAGGGUGUCCUUAGACCAGGCAAUGGCCUUUCACAGAUAUCUACAGAAUGAUGUGGGAGGCCCAGCUGACUUCCAGGUAACAUUAGAAUUUACUUAUCCUGCGAAAUAGGGAGGCUGAUACCUUACACCAGCAGGUAGAGAACAUUUUUAGGCUUGUGUCUGGGUUCACCAUGCUGUUCUAGCUUAUGAGCUCUGCCCUGUCCUCUGUACCUCUUGUCGUCCUGUCAGUCCUCCACCGUGUCCUCCUGAGUGAUGGACUACAUAUACCCCUCUGCCCCUGUUCUGAGGUGUAGACUCUGAGGCCAUUUCUUACAGGAACUGGCUUCUUAGUGCUCUGUCUUGACACAUACCUUAGCUCUAGUCUUCCCGUGCACUUCAGUGGCAGUUGUGGUCUUUUAGGGAAUGAAUGAGAAAUUUAGUUCAGGACUGAUGUGACCCUCAGGUUAGUUCUAGGAGCAAGGCCAUUUUCUGGUCUCGGCUCUUCCCCUCCCAACCUUCUCACAGGGCAGUCAUAGCCAUCAGGGUAAGGUGCAUGUUCCAGGAGAGCUCACCCUGCCAUCCAGAACUCCCUCCCAUACUCUAUUAUAGCACUUAGCGUGUCUGCCUGUGUUCAGCCCUCUCACUCCAUGCUUAUCUGGACAUUGAAGCUUGGAAAGCCAGUGGUGACUUCAACUGACUUUAAUUCAUCCACUCAUCCAUCUAGCUAUACAUCUAGCCAUCUGUCAGUAAGUCCAUCCAUCCAUCCAUCCAUCCAUCCAUCCACCCAUCCAUGCAUACACGCAUUGGGCCUCCAUCACUUGACCUGGUGCUUUGGGCCUCUCUCCCUCUCCUGAAAGCAAACCCCUUCACCUUGGGCAAGCUGUGUGAUACCAUGGGCUGUGGUCAUGAAGCAAGGCCCCCAUUCACAGUCUCCUCCUCCUAAGUCACGGCUCUGAGCACGUCCCAGCUGGACCCCCAUCACCACAGCUUUUUCUCCAUAAGGCUUCUCACACCCCACUCCCUUCUACUGUGAUCCGGGAGGGCCAGGUUCCCAGAGUGCCCUGGGACUGGCCCUUCCCACCAUAAGCAGAGCUGCCUCCCCAGGCUUUUCACUGCCCGGUGCAUGGUCCCUGUCAUAAGCUUUGCCUUCUCCCUUGCAGCUUCCUCCACCAGAUGGCAGUGGUUUUGACUCAUGUGCCCAUUCCUUUACACCUUCAUUCAUUCAUUCUCUUACAGCCAGCAAGCAUCUUAAAAAAAAAAAAAAAUUAGCUAGUGCUAUACUAGAGCCGGCUCACAAGCACCCAUUGCACCACUGUCCUUUGAAAGAAAAGAUGGGGACAUUUGUAAAGAAGCUGUGUUUGUGUGGCCAAUAAGAGGAGCUCCUUGAUUUCAAUUCAAACUUCAGGUCUGAGUUCUAUUGCAAGCUUGAUUGCUCUCUCCAAUUUUGUUCCUCACAAAACUAGGUUGAUUAGUAAUCAGCAAACUAUGUUCCCUGGGUGCUCAGAAAUCAUAGCCCAGAUCCUUAAGAGGCCCAAAUGGGGAGUGGACUAAGCACGAAGCAGCUGCCUCUGGCUGCGAGCAGGCUUUCAAGGCAGUGAGACACUCUGUUCUUCUAGGAGGACGAUCUGAGAGCUGUUCUGGCCACUUUGGAGCUCAGCUAAUGCUUGGCUCCUUUUUAGAGAAAAUUGCAGGAGAUGGUUACUUGUACAGGUGACAAGGAUCAUGUCCCAAUGUCCUUUCCGAAUAAUCCAUUUGCAGACCCAGGCGAGCAGGGCGCGUGGCACUUUGCAAACCCCUGUGUAUUUCAGGGGGCCCCGGGCUAGGUGAGCCCUCCUUUCAGCUUUCUGCUGUGAAGGGGGAAGAGACACAGGUCUCAGAUUCUGAGUUCUCCUCCCACUGGAAGCAGUAGGAUCGGCAAGGCCAGACCCUGGAGCUGGACAAAUUGUGUGAUGGGUCUUGUCUCAGGGAUGUUGUGAGGACUGGUGUAACUGGACACUUCUGACUGUGACCCUAAAAGGCAGUGUAUGUGUCCCUGGGGGUGUGCCAGAGCAUUGGGAACCCUAGCCCUGGAGUGGGGGAGGCCUUGCUUGGGUAUGAUGGGGAAUAGUUUGUGUGUGUUAAAUUUGUUUAUUUUCAUAUAAAGUAAAGACUUUAACACCAUGGGUUGGGGGACUCUUUAGAUAGUACCUCUGCCCUCCACCCCCCUCGGACACAUCCACACCUCCCUCUAGGAGAGGUUGGAGUUCUCUUUAGCUCUCUGACUGAGGACCAAGCCUCUGACUCAGAACUGUUUAUGGCACCUGGUUACAUCCCUUUCCAAAAGGCUCUUCCCAGGGGAGCACUUGGCACGAUCUGGCAGACCCCAUUGUCCCUUUCCCAAUGUCCUCUCUCCCACUAACAGCAUCAGGCCAAACUGCCUGAGAUCUGGUGCCUACCACAGUGCCUGGCCAGGGGUAGGGCUUCAGUGACCUUCUGUUGUAUUUGUGUAGAUAGAUGGGCAGCUCAAUUGUAACACGUCCUAGGGGCAGAUGUGUAUGGUCUCAUACAGUGGUUUGUAAUGGAGAAUGUAUCUGAACCCAUAUCAAGUCAUCUCUCUUCCUUACCCUGUUAAGCAGCCACUACUGUAGUGGGCUUUUGCACCUUGCUUUGUUACCUUUUGUGCUAAGUAAAGCCUCUCCUGCUUUCUGCCGAGAGUCUGUUUCUUUUAGAACUCACCUAGGUGUGAUCUGGCAGGUCAGCUAAUCUGUCUCUCUGCCCCUCUGACCCGUAGUUUUCUUCCCUCUCAGGUGUGUGUCACUGGCAAGCCUACCUCACAGGGUUGUUGUGAGGGCUAAGGGCUGAUCAGCUGUAACAGUGUGAUGUCCAUGCUGACUGUCACCAGGGAUGGUGCCAUGAUGGUAUUGGCUUGAAAUCACAACCUAUGCCGUUAUUCAUGGUCCCUGAAUAGAGUCUCACUGUGGACACUGAGGUUGUCUUUCCAGCAGUUGAUGUGGUAUGCAAGGCUGGUUGUGAGCCACUGACUGUGUGGUCCUGGUUAAAUCUUGUGUGAUUCAUUCAUGCAUGUUGGCUUCUAAGUUCUUCUGUGGUUCCCUGACCUUCCCUUCCUUUCAAUCUUUCAAUUGGUGGCUGAUGCUGCUGGUUAUGUGAACGGCCGAAGCUGGCUGGGCCACUGUGCUUCGGGGCAUUAGGAGGGGUGGUAUCUGCCGGUAGAUGCUUCUUUAAGCUUGUGUUUCUGUGUAUGUGAUGUGUGUGCAUAUCUGCCCCCUGGGACAGUGCCAAGAACCAAGGGUCAAUAGAGGGGUUUCCAAAUAAUGGCAUCCUUGGAUUUUUUUCCUAUGGCUCUCUCACUUUGACCUGGUAGGUCUGCAUGCUUUGUUCUCCUCUCCCCUCCCGCUUUCUUCCUCUGCCAGGAGAGGAGAAAAAUUAGCUUUCCCUAUAUCCAAUUCUGCUUUGGACUGAACUUAGGUUUACACACUUUACUGUUGUCCUCAACAUGGUCCCAUUUUGUGGAUGGGCAGACUGAGAGCCAGGGACAAUAGUCACAUUCCUGUGUGAAUAACUCUUUCCUUCCGCUCUACCAAAUAAAACCUCAGCAAGCUCAGCUUCUUAGGCUCACCCCUGCCUGACCCUGGCAUGCACUCAGAACGGUCUCCCUUCUGUCUUGUGUCCCACUAUUCACCUAGUUGUUUCCUGGCGGGUAAGGUGUGAUGGGAGGAGCAAGGAGGCUGUGUCCUUCCAUGUUGCCCAGUCCCAGAGUGUCCUAGUCAAUGUCUGUCUGGGAUUCACAUUUCCCACGAGGGUCUUUCCAUGACAUUGACUUUCAUCCCCAGUCCUCAUCCUGUGAAUCUGGGAGAGCAGCCUUCCACUUUUCUGCUCUUGUUCCAAAUCCAUGCCAAGAAGCCCUGCCCACUCCACAGAAGCCCAGCCCCUCUCAGUUCCUUGUGUUACUCUGGCUUUCAAAGCCCUUGUGUCUCAGCCCUAGAUGCUCUUAAGCCCUUGGCGUUGUCACUGUGUCCUUGGGCUCAGGAGCCUGUGUUUUCAUUGCUCCCUCUGGCUGCCAUGUCUUUCCCUAUCAUACUCCAUUACCAAGAUCCUGACUCUGCCUCCCUCAGGCUGUGUUUGGGCCUGCAGUGUGGCUGCUCCAGUUCAUCCUGUCUUGGACAACUUCUUAGAACCUUUGCUUCUGUGCUCUGGCAUCUCGUGCGUGGUAGGCACAUGUGGGUCGGGUCAUUUCCUCAGAUAAUUUUGACUCCUUAUCUAGGUGCCUGGUCUCAGAUGGACCUUUGGCCCCUUGUGGGCCAGGUUUUCAGGUGACUAUUAGGUAGCUUGUGUCCUUUGGAAGCAAUGAAAGGGAAGCCAGGGGCCUGGCAACUAGGGAAGGCUUAGAUUGUGACUAAUCUCCAGGCUUGGUCCAACUCAAUGUCACCCUGCCUCUUGAAGUGAUGGGCGCCUAAUACUUGCUCCAUGAUGAAGUAGGGAAGGCUAAGUGAAUGUGGAUAUGCAGACGAUUCUGAGGUCUUUCUGUAAGGACUUCCCCUAGGAUCUAGUCAGCUCCAGGACACCUUUCCUGGUAGAAACACUGCUUUGGAGAUAUUAUGUCCAGGAUAAAACUUUCUGAGGGCUGAAAUGUCCUCAUUGAGAUUUUGGCCUGGGUGAUCCUGAAAAGGAGUUGUUCGGGGAUUCCCAAAUUCUAAGGUGGACUUGGCUCUGCCCAUAUCAUCGCUAAGGCCCCUCUCCCUGGGUGAAAGGGGAUUAUUUCAUCCCCACCAUUGGUGACAAUCAGCAUUGACCUAGAAGUUACUUGUGAGGUUUGGGGCACAGCCUCGAGCACCCAGCAGACUGGGGAGAGUGGACCCCAGACCUUGGAUUCUUAUUUUGUACAGAGUACUCCAUAGGUACAUGGGGAGGGGAGGGGUUCCCAGCGUCUUACCCAUUUGGGCGUCAGACCUGUUUUUGUUUUUUGUUUUCUUCCAACUGAACCUUGAGCAGCUUACCUGAGUCAUCCCCAGCCUUAGUUUCUCUUCUUGCACACAGGGUGUCAUUGGUGACUGCCCAUCAUAUGGUGGUUCAUGAGAAUCAAGGUCUGGGUUCUGUUCAUCCUUGCCCCUCAUGGACCAUGUGGCCUUGGCUGUUUGCCAUAUCCUAGAAACAGUCAAACCAACCUGGUUUGAUCAGGGGAUUCAGUGAGUUGUAUGUGUGAAAACGAGUGUUUUGUUGCUUGGUAUGCAGGUGCUCAUGCCUGCUAACCCAUACUGGCUGUUCUGGAGGUGGGCCCUGGGUACAGAUGUAACCUAGUUUCUGAAACUUCAGGUCCACGUGAGACUCGGGCAGAGUGGAGGGCAGGAGGGUAGCACCUACCCAGCUCUGGAGGGACAUAGAGAGAAGGCCUUGCUUUCAACUGUUAGGAUUCAGCAGUUUUGGUGGGAGGCAUUGAGGUACAAGUGGCACAUCAAGAUACAAGACCUGGAAGAAUAUUUAGAAUAUUUAGAAGACCCCUCUAGGAGGGCAAGGGUUUUUGGAAAACCACCAAGGUUUAAUAGACUGUGAAUUGGCUAGAAGUCUUGGGGGCGGUAUGAGAAAGAUGGAAAAAUUCUAGACUAGGUUAGUGAGGUCAGGACCUGAUGUAUAGGUGUUGCCCCACCCCCAUGACUGCCCAGAAUUUGGGCCUUCUACCUAGCUCAGGCUUUCUGAGCACAGGGCUGGGUUGUCCCCUCCAGUUUCUACUCUGCCUGGUGCAUGAAAACUGCCGGGGGGGGGGGGGGAUGGAGCAGGUGGCCUUCAUCUGCAGCUGUGUCUCUCUCAGCUUCCACAGCCACAGGGACGCCUUGCACAUUUCCUGUGGGAUAUACUGGACCCAAGACUCUGGACCCUGGCCUCCCCUUGAGUAGAGAGACCCACCUACUGACUGAACUGUGCUGACCCUGGGGUCAGGCAUGUGGCCUUGAUCCCUGUCUAUGGACCCUGAGACUUGGGGGGGGGGGGAAGGCUGUUGAGUCUUCACUGUUGAGUCCACAUCUGUGAAAUGGGCUCAGGUUCCUACCUCACAGGGCUGUUGUGAGGCAGCUGCAAUGUGCUUAGAAGCAUGGGGCCUGGUGGCUCAUGGUGCUUUCAAUAAAUGUUUUUUGUCUUAACUAAA
rnacentral:lncRNA from 1 species